GGGCUAUUAGCUCAGUGGUAGAGCGCGCCCCUGAUAAUCGCG
rnacentral:tRNA from 1 species